GUCCACUCCUCUGCAGGUCCUGGGGCAGCAGAGUCCACUCCUCUGCAGGUCCCGGGGCAGCAGAGUCCACUCCUCCGCUGGUCCUGAGGCAGCAGAGUCCACUCCUCCGCAGGUCAUGAGGCAGCAGAGUCCAUUCCUCCAGAGGUCCUGAGGCAGCAGAGUCCACUCCUCCGCAGGUCCUGGGGCAGCAGAGUCCACUCCUCCGCAGGUCCUUAGGCAGCAGAGUCCACUCCUCCGCAGGUCAUCAGGCAGCAUAGUCCACUCCUCCAGAGGUCCUGAGGCAGCAGAGUCCACUCCCCCGCAGGUCCUGGGGCAGCAGAGUCCACUCCUCCGCAAGUCACACUUGGUCUUCCUGGGAUCCUGGCCUCCUCUCUCUUCCCGCUGGAAUGACACCAUGUUUGUCUCUGCCAGCAUCAGGUCAGGAGGUACAGGUCUGUGUGGAAGGGAGCAGCUUCCUCCUUGGGGGGCUCCUGCUGCCCUAUGGACCUCUCCCUAGCUACAGGCUCCGCUCCUGGCAUGACCUGUGUCCACCAGAGGCCCUGCCAGCCACAGCAGGCGGGGACAAAGGUGCUGGCCCAGUGGUUGGCCAUGUCCAGCUGUCCUGCUGGCAGAGCUGUGGCAGUCCACAGAGUGGACUAGGCAAUCCUCUCUCCCUUCUCUCUGACACACCUGCAGGGAAAGACGGGAACCCUGUACCACACCAGGGCCAGCCUAGAGGCCUUCUGGAGUGCUGUCUGGGAUCUUGGCCCCUGGGCUUGUCAGCCAUUGCCGCUGCCUGGAUGUGAUAAAGAAAGGAUCCUGCGGAAGGCUGGGGUUGUCCCCUCCUCCACAGGGUCCAUCUUCCAGGGCUGCCUCUCAGGGCCUGGCACCUGGUGAUGGACCCCGGAAGGGGUGGCUCCAGCUCUCCCCCUCUUCCUCCUCCCCUCCUUCAAGUCAACAGGGCCUGCAGCGAUGAACAGCUGGGCCAAGAGGCAAAACUUGGUGCUGUUGUGGAGCCUGGCUCCAGGGCCCCAGAUGGAGGCGUCCACGUGUGGUGUGGUGCCAGAAGAGACCUGGAGGAGUUGACCUUCCAUAGGACAUGCAGAUAGCCUCCCCAUAGGGCCUGGCCUUCAGCACUGCCCACUACCCAUGUGCCCAGCGACCCAGCUCCACUAACAUCAUGAUGCAGUGGCUGCUGGGCAUGAGCCCGGUCCUCCCUCCAGGCUCAGAAGAGCUGCAACGCAGACCACUGAGAACAAAAGACCAAGACCCCUAGGAGGUCCAGGCAGCAGAUGUUCUGUGCAGCUGGGCAGCUGGGGCAGCUGGGGCAGCUGGGGGUGAGGGAGAUGCAGACCGCCAGCACUCAGACUGCAGGGGCAUGUUGCACAUCUGAGGUGGAGUCGGUCCCAUUCAGGGCGAAACCCGGGAGAGCCUGGGCACUGAGGCUCUGAGGAAAGAGGACACGAUGUGGGAGGCAGCAAAUGGGCCACCCACAGGGGAGACGGCACAGAAAUUACUGAAAACAGGCCCACGCAUCCCACCCGAGAUCCUUUAGAGGUAAGGCCUUGCACACUCACACAUCGAGAUGAGAGAGUGAAAUAAAUCAGGUGUGCCUCCUCCUCACCUGCAGGCCCUCUGGAUGAAGAGGUGGUGCACACUCACACAUUGAGAUGAGAGAGCUGUAAUCAGGUGUGCCUCUUCCUCACCUGCAGGCCCUCUGGAUGAAGAGGUGGUGCACACUCACACAUCAAGAUGAGAGAGCUGUAUCAGGUGUACCUCCCCUCACCUGCAGGCCCUCUGGAUGAAGAGGUGGUGCACACUCACACAUCGAGAUGAGAGAGCUGUAAUCAGGUGUGCCUCCUCCUCACCUGAGGCCCUCUGGAUGAAGAGGUGGUGCACACUCACACAUCGAGAUGAGAGAGCUGUAAUCAGGUGUGCCUCCUCCUCACCUGAGGCCCUCUGGAUGAAGAGGUGGUGCACACUCACACAUCGAGAUGAGAGAGCUGUAAUCAGGUGUGCCUCCUCCUCACCUGAGGCCCUCUGGAUGAAGAGGUGGUGCACACUCACACAUCAAGACGAGAGAGCUAUAUCAGGUGUACCUCCUCCUCACCUGCAGGCCCUCUGGAUGAGGAGGCCAUGCACACUUACACAUUGAGAGCAGAGAGCUGUAAUCAGGUGUACCUCCCCUCACCUGCAGGCCCUCUGGAUGAGGAGGCCAUGCACACUUACACAUUGAGAGCAGAGAGCUGUAUCAGGUGUGCCUCCUCCUCACCUGAGGCCCUCUGGAUGAAGAGGUGGUGCACACUCACACAUCAAGACGAGAGAGCUGUAUCAGGUGUACCUCCUCCUCACCUGCAGGCCCUCUGGAUGAGGAGGCCAUGCACACUUACACAUUGAGAGCAGAGAGCUGUAAUCAGGUGUGCCUCCUCCUCACCUGCAGGCCCUCUGGAUGAAGAGGUGGUGCACACUCACACAUCGAGAUGAGAGAGCUGUAAUCAGGUGUGCCUCCUCCUCACCUGCAGGCCCUCUGGAUGAAGAGGUGGUGCACACUCACACAUCGAGAUGAGAGAGCUGUAAUCAGGUGUGCCUCCUCCUCACCUGCAGGCCCUCUGGAUGAAGAGGUGGUGCACACUCACACAUCAAGACGAGAGAGCUAUAUCAGGUGUACCUCCUCCUCACCUGCAGGCCCUCUGGAUGAGGAGGCCAUGCACACUUACACAUUGAGAGCAGAGAGCUGUAAUCAGGUGUACCUCCCCUCACCUGCAGGCCCUCUGGAUGAGGAGGCCAUGCACACUUACACAUUGAGAGCAGAGAGCUGUAUCAGGUGUGCCUCCUCCUCACCUGAGGCCCUCUGGAUGAAGAGGUGGUGCACACUCACACAUCGAGAUGAGAGAGCUGUAAUCAGGUGUGCCUCCUCCUCACCUGAGGCCCUCUGGAUGAAGAGGUGGUGCACACUCACACAUCAAGACGAGAGAGCUGUAUCAGGUGUACCUCCUCCUCACCUGCAGGCCCUCUGGAUGAGGAGGUGGUGCACACUCACACAUCGAGAUGAGAGAGCUGUAAUCAGGUGUGCCUCCUCCUCACCUGAGGCCCUCUGGAUGAAGAGGUGGUGCACACUCACACAUCAAGACGAGAGAGCUAUAUCAGGUGUACCUCCUCCUCACCUGCAGGCCCUCUGGAUGAGGAGGCCAUGCACACUUACACAUUGAGAGCAGAGAGCUGUAAUCAGGUGUACCUCCCCUCACCUGCAGGCCCUCUGGAUGAGGAGGCCAUGCACACUUACACAUUGAGAGCAGAGAGCUGUAUCAGGUGUGCCUCCUCCUCACCUGAGGCCCUCUGGAUGAAGAGGUGGUGCACACUCACACAUCAAGACGAGAGAGCUGUAUCAGGUGUACCUCCUCCUCACCUGCAGGCCCUCUGGAUGAGGAGGCCAUGCACACUUACACAUUGAGAGCAGAGAGCUGUAAUCAGGUGUACCUUCCCUCACCUGCAGGCCCUCUGGAUGAGGAGGCCAUGCACACUUACACAUUGAGAGCAGAGAGCUGUAUCAGGUGUGCCUCCUCCUCACCUGAGGCCCUCUGGAUGAAGAGGUGGUGCACACUCACACAUCGAGAUGAGAGAGCUGUAAUCAGGUGUGCCUCCUCCUCACCUGAGGCCCUCUGGAUGAAGAGGUGGUGCACACUCACACAUCAAGACGAGAGAGCUAUAUCAGGUGUACCUCCUCCUCACCUGCAGGCCCUCUGGAUGAGGAGGCCAUGCACACUUACACAUUGAGAGCAGAGAGCUGUAUCAGGUGUGCCUCCUCCUCACCACAUUUGGGUAAGGAAUUCUGCUGCUGACUGGUUGAUGGCAUCCCUUCAUCAUUUCUCCUUUCUUUGAGUUUUUAAACCCUGGUCAGUGCACACCUCAUUCUCCACUGUCUGAUCUAAUGUCUUCACGUGGCAAUCUGUCAUUCUCAACAUUGUACCCCCUGCCUUUGAAAGUAUAUCUCACCGUUAUUCGAACAGUCAUGUAUUCAUAGGAUGCCAUGUUGUACUUCCUCGUUUUGAGGCUGAGUAAAUCAAGUAAUGGAGACUUUAA